rnacentral:rRNA from 1 species
UACAGAGGUCUCAAGCGUUGUCCGGAUUUACUGGGCGUAAAGAGCGCGCAGGCGGUCGAUCAAGUCGAGUGUGAAAGCCCCCGGCUCAACUGGGGAGGGUCAUUCGAUACUGAUCGACUCGAAGGCAGGAGAGGGUAGUGGAAUUCCCGGUGUAGUGGUGAAAUGCGUAGAUAUCGUAAGGAAGACCAGUGGCGAAGGCGGGUCUCUGGACAGUUCCUGACGCUGAGGCACGAAGGCCAGGGGAGCAAACGGG